AUAUGCCUACAACUUAACGCUAAUGCAUCAGCUCCCAUUAGAGCUCUGUAGUUAAGCGCACUCAGGAUAGGGUAGUACUAGGAUGGGUGACUUCCUAGUAUUUUACAUGCGUAUG
rnacentral:rRNA from 1 species